rnacentral:rRNA from 1 species
UACGAAGGGGGCUAGCGUUGUUCGGAAUCACUGGGCGUAAAGCGCACGCAGGCGGAUCGUUAAGUCAGGGGUGAAAUGCCGAGGCUCAACCUCGGAACUGCCUUUGAUACUGGCGAUCUUAGAGUCCGGGAGAAGGUGAGUGGAACUCCGAGUGUAGAGGUGAAAUUCGUAGAUAUUCGGAAGAACACCAGUGGCGAAGGCGGCUCACUGGUCCGGUACUGACGCUGAUGUGCGAAAGCGUGGGGAGCAAACAGG